rnacentral:sRNA from 1 species
ACAACAUCAAUGCCCAAAAGAGAGCGGCAGUCCGAAGGCUGGUAGGAAACGGGCAGCUGGAGAUUGCGACAGGAGGCUGGGUGAUGCCGGAUGAGGCCAAUUCCCACUACUUUGCAUUGAUUGACCAGCUCAUCGAAGGACACCAGUGGCUGGAGAGAAAUCUUGGUGCAACCCCCCGCUCUGGCUGGGCAGUGGACCCCUUUGGAUACAGCUCCACCAUGCCUUACCUGCUGCGCCGUGCCAACCUCACCAGCAUGCUGAUUCAGAGAGUGCACUAUGCCAUCAAGAAGCACUUUGCUGCCACCCACAGCCUAGAGUUCAUGUGGAGGCAGACAUGGGCCCUAGGUCCAGUUACAGCCUCACAGUCUAUCAGGGCUGUCUUUAGCCUGAGCAGAUCCAUGCCCUCCUGACGUCCCGAAGCUGCCUGCUGGUGGUGACCACGUGGUGUGUCUUCUGCAGACUCGGACUCCAGCACAGACAUCUUCUGUCACAUGAUGCCCUUCUACAGCUAUGACGUCCCCCAUACCUGUGG